rnacentral:rRNA from 1 species
AGUCGAGCGGUAGCACAGAGAGCUUGCUCUCGGGUGACGAGCGGCGGACGGGUGAGUAAUGUCUGGGAAACUGCCUGAUGGAGGGGGAUAACUACUGGAAACGGUAGCUAAUACCGCAUAACGUCGCAAGACCAAAGUGGGGGACCUUCGGGCCUCAUGCCAUCAGAUGUGCCCAGAUGGGAUUAGCUGGUAGGUGGGGUAACGGCUCACCUAGGCGACGAUCCCUAGCUGGUCUGAGAGGAUGACCAGCCACACUGGAACUGAGACACGGUCCAGACUCCUACGGGAGGCAGCAGUGGGGAAUAUUGCACAAUGGGCGCAAGCCUGAUGCAGCCAUGCCGCGUGUGUGAAGAAGGCCUUCGGGUUGUAAAGCACUUUCAGCGGGGAGGAAGGCGAUAAGGUUAAUAACCUUGUCGAUUGACGUUACCCGCAGAAGAAGCACCGGCUAACUCCGUGCCAGCAGCCGCGGUAAUACGGAGGGUGCAAGCGUUAAUCGGAAUUACUGGGCGUAAAGCGCACGCAGGCGGUCUGUCAAGUCGGAUGUGAAAUCCCCGGGCUCAACCUGGGAACUGCAUUCGAAACUGGCAGGCUAGAGUCUUGUAGAGGGGGGUAGAAUUCCAGGUGUAGCGGUGAAAUGCGUAGAGAUCUGGAGGAAUACCGGUGGCGAAAGCGGCCCCCUGGACAAAGACUGACGCUCAGGUGCGAAAGCGUGGGGAGCAAACAGGAUUAGAUACCCUGGUAGUCCACGCUGUAAACGAUGUCGAUUUGGAGGUUGUGCCCUUGAGGCGUGGCUUCCGGAGCUAACGCGUUAAAUCGACCGCCUGGGGAGUACGGCCGCAAGGUUAAAACUCAAAUGAAUUGACGGGGGCCCGCACAAGCGGUGGAGCAUGUGGUUUAAUUCGAUGCAACGCGAAGAACCUUACCUGGUCUUGACAUCCACAGAACUUUCCAGAGAUGGAUUGGUGCCUUCGGGAACUGUGAGACAGGUGCUGCAUGGCUGUCGUCAGCUCGUGUUGUGAAAUGUUGGGUUAAGUCCCGCAACGAGCGCAACCCUUAUCCUUUGUUGCCAGCGGUUAGGCCGGGAACUCAAAGGAGACUGCCAGUGAUAAACUGGAGGAAGGUGGGGAUGACGUCAAGUCAUCAUGGCCCUUACGACCAGGGCUACACACGUGCUACAAUGGCAUAUACAAAGAGAAGCGACCUCGCGAGAGCAAGCGGACCUCAUAAAGUAUGUCGUAGUCCGGAUUGGAGUCUGCAACUCGACUCCAUGAAGUCGGAAUCGCUAGUAAUCGUAGAUCAGAAUGCUACGGUGAAUACGUUCCCGGGCCUUGUACACACCGCCCGUCACACCAUGGGAGUGGGUUGCAAAAGAAGUAGGUAGCUUAACCUUCGGGAGGGCGCU